CCCGAUGGCGCCUUCCUGCAGUCGAACGGACACGGACUUCGGGCUGGUGGUGAGUGCCGAACGGGCGAUUAUAUGUAUCUGAACGUGCCCAGUAGCGGGGGAUAACUACGCCAAAGCGUAGCUGAUACCGCAUACGCCCUACCGGGGAAAGCAGGGGAUCUUCGGACCUUGCACUAUUGGAGCGGACUAUAUCUGAUUAUCUAGUUGGUGGGGUAACGGGCUACCCACGCGACGAUCCGUAGCUGGUUUGAGAGGACGACCAGCCACACUGGGACUGAGACACGGCCCAGACUCCUACGGGAGGCAGCAUUGGGGAAUUUUGGACAAUGGGGGAAACCCUGAUCCAGACAUCCCGCGUGUGCGAUGAAGGCCUUCGGGUUGUAAAGCACUUUUGCCAAGAAAGAAACGUCGCGGGCUAAUACCCCGCGAAACUGACGGCACCUGCAGAAUAAGCACCGGCUAACUACGUGCCACCAGCCGCUGCACUACGUAGGGCGCAAGCGUUAAUCGGAAUUACUGGGCGUAAAACGUGCGCAGGUGGUGCGGAACGAGAGAUGUGUAAUCCCACAGCUCAACUUACGUAAGUGCAUUUUUACCUACCGGGCUAAAGUGUGUCCCACGGAGGUGGAAUUCAGCUUGCUGACGUCCAAUGCAUCCCAUUAACUGAGGAACACCUUUGGCGAAGGCAACCUCCUGGGAUAAAACUUACGCUCAUUUACUAACCUUUUCUCGCAAAACGGAUUAUAUUCCCUGGGUCUCCCCGCCCCCACGAUGCCAACCAUUACUAGUGGCCUUUGCCCCUGUUACCUCAUCUCUUAACUGAGUUUAUAAUUCGAGGACUCGGGUUAUAGUUUAAAACUC
rnacentral:rRNA from 1 species